rnacentral:rRNA from 1 species
AAUGUAUAGCAAUAGCUGAUUGCACCAACAAAUAGUUGAUGCAAAAUUGAUUAUAUCAAAUAAAAUUCUAGGUAGAUUUUUGAUAAUGACAUUGCUUACCUAAGUCUUGACCAAAUUACGUGCCAGCAGUCGCGGUAAUACGUAAAAGACUAGUGUUAUUCAUCUUUAAUUGGUUUAAAGGGUACCUAGACAGCGAAUAAAGCCAUAGUAGGGACUAAUUCGCUAGAGUUACUUAUGAGGGGGUAUUAAAGUACUGCAGGUGUAGAGAUGAAAUUUUGUUAUACCUCUUCUCGUAUGAGAAACUAUGGCACAGGUAUAGGUGAAAGCAUCCCCUUAUGUGAUAACUGACGUUGAGGGACGAAGGCUUUGUGUCGCGAACAGGAUUAGAUACCCCAAUAGUCAAAGCAGAAAAUGAUGAAUGUCAUAGAUUAGAUAUGCAAUUUAUUCUAUAAAUGAAAGUGUAAGCAUUCCACCUCAAGAGUAAUUUGGCAACAUUGGAACUGAAAUCAUUAGACCGUUUCUGAAACCAGUAGUGAAGUAUGUUGUUUAAUUUGAUGAUACGCAAAAAACCUUACCACAAUUUGAAUAUUUAUAUAUAUCUUUUAUUGAUUUCUACUAACAUAUUUGUAGACAAUUAAAAUGAUGCCUCUGUCCCGUUUGUGAGACUAAGCAUCAAAAAAGAUAAUAUAUUUACAAGCGUUGCACGGCUGUCUUCAGUUAAUGUCGCGAGAUUUUGGUUAGUUCCAUUAAAUUAACGUAAACCCUUACUUUAUUUAUAUAUAAAGUAGUUCUCCGCUAUAUUGGAUAUGAUAA